GAGCGUUUUUAUUUGGUUUAAACAUGAUUACAAUGAUUACAAAGACAUCUCACCUACGGUGUAUCCUAACAAUAGUACCAUGUUUAACUGUGAAUUGGACAAAGAUAUAAUUUGGAUCAAAAAUAAGGUUUCUUUAGCACUUACACUGGAGAGAGAAGACCCAAGGAAGAUCAUGUGUUUGAAGCAUUGGGAACAACAGAUGAGCUGUCGAUCAGCAAUAGGAUUCAGUGUGUCUUACAAGAUGUGGGAUCCAACAUUACCACACUUCUGUCAUCUGCAAGAGAAAGAUAAGUAAAUAUAUUUCUGCAAAUCCUUUUGUAGAAUCAUUACACACAGUUCACCCCAGCCAGUGGCCUUCUCAUUCUACUCAUACUCUUAUCUCACUCUAUCCAACAGAGAAAAGCAAGUUCAGUUCCCAGCCAUUGGCAGACCUGGAAAGCUGUCUCGACGCAUUCACAGAGGAGCUGCCACCUCUGACAAACUUUAUAUUACCUGAAAGCACCCACUCUGGAUGAAACUUUUCUUUCAUUUCUUUAUUUCUAUUUUUUUAUUUCACCGUUAUUUACCAGGUAGGCCAGUUGAGAACAAGUUCUCAUUUACAACUGCGACCUGGCCAAGAUAAAGCAGUGCGACAAAAACAACAACACAGAGUUACACAUAAACAAACGUACAGUCAAUAACACAAUAGAAAAGAAAAAUAGAAAAAUCUAUGUACAGUGUGUGCAACUGUAGACGAGUAGGGAGGUAGGCAAUAAAUAGGCCAUAGAGGUGAAAAUAAUUACAACUUAGCAUUAAUACUGGAGUGAUAGAUGUGCAGAUGAUGUGCAAGUAGAGAUACUGGGGUGCAAGAGGGUAAGUAAUAAUAUGGGGAUGAGGUAGUUGGGUGUACUAUUUACAGAAUGUCUGUGUACAGAUACAGUGAUCGGUAAGCUGCUCUGACAGCUGAUGCUUAAAGUUAGAGAGGGAAAUAUAAGACUCCAGCGUCAGAGAUUUUUGCAAUUCGUUCCAGUUAUUGGCAGCAGAGAACUGGAAGGAAAGGCGGCCAAAGGAAGUGUUGGCUUUGGGGAUGACCAGUGCAAUAUACCUGCUGGAGCGCAUGCUACGGGUGGAUGUUGCUAUGGUGACCAGUGAGCUGAGAUAAGGCGGGGAUUUACCUAGUGAAGACUUAUAGAUGACCUUGAGCCAGUGGGUUUGGCGAUGGAUAUAUAGUGAGGGCCAGCCAACGAGAGCAUACAGGUCGCAGUGGUGGGUAAUAUAUGGGGCUUUGGUGAUAAAACGGAUGGCACUGUGAUAGACUACAUCCAGUUUUCUGAGUAGUGUUGGGGGCUAUUUAGUAAAUGACAUCGCCGAGGUCAAGGAUCGGUAGGAUAGUCAGUUUUACGAGGGUAUGUUUGGCAGCAUGAGUGAAGGAGGCUUUGUUGCGAAAUAGGAUGCAGAUUACAGAUGUAGUUUUGGAAUGGAGAUGCUUAAUGUGAGUCUGGAAGGAGAGUUUACAGUCUAACCAGACACCUAGGUAUUUGUAGUUGUCCACAUAUUCUAGGUCAGAA